GACGGCGAAUGUGGGGGCGGCUCCCAACAGUCACCCAUCCAUUAGUGGCUCAUGUGUUCUUAAGACAAACUCAGCAGGCUGUACCUGUCCAGAGACACAAUUCAAGACCUCUGUGGACACUUGGAACUGUGAACAAUACUGAACGCUACUGGUCCAAUAUUCUUCCUGGACACACGUACUUCCGAUAAAGCAUGCUGUCUGGAUGCCAGAGAUGAACAUUAGUUUGACAUCAGAACAGUUACAGUAGCGCCGUGGGAUAGCAGAAGUUAUGUGGAUGCCAUCUCUCUCCGAAGGUCUUACUGAGCUAUAGUGCCCCAUCUUCUGUUGACGAUCUGGCAUCCACAUCUAUUGAUGAUGAGGUGCCGUGAGGUGAAACCAGAGCUUCUGCCUGCAUGGAACAAGAGCAAGAGAAAGGCCGAGGAGACUGACCUGCUUAUCCAUGCUACUUAUCAGGAACUGUGGAACCAUGGAGAACAUGACCCUGGCCCUCCCUUCAGGAUCUGCCUGAGAUCUGGCUGCCUCUUGAGACACUAGAGCCCUGGAUUCAAUUGCGGAACAUUAUGUUGGAGAAUAUAAACACUUCUAGACUGUGCCGGCAUUUGGGAAGGAAUAGUCUGUUUUGACUUGAAUGAACAAAGACAUACGUCUCUGGGCCUGGGGAAGGCUUACCAGCUCAGCUCAUCUACUGUCUGGUGGCAAACAUGUCCUGGGUACUGCCACUACCCAGGACACUCUUCCUCACUCUGUCCCUGUCCAGUUACCGCACCCUUCCCUGUCUGACCCCGCCUCCUGUGCCCACUCGCCUCUGGACCCAGAGAUUCUUCUUGUUUGCUCUAUCAUCCUUGAGCCGGAUACAGGGUGAAUAGUUAACCACACUUGGGUUGAAUGGGAUCUUGAUUCUUAUUUCUGUUCCUUGGAAAGAGGGGUCAGACUCGGUGCGUGGCACCCGGCCUGGAAGCAGCACAAGACUCCAGAGUGAUACAUGAUCUGCCUGGAUGGUCCCAGGGGCUCUUUGGAGGUCAGAGCAAGAGGAGCAGCCUGAGCAGGGGGGCUGAGGAGGGCCGGCACUGGAUCACACGCAGGCGUAUGUCUGGAUAGGCAGAGAGGAACCCACUUUUCAUUCCCUCUUCUGUGACACAAAUGCAAGGAACUUUGAAGACACUCUUCGGAGGUUGCAAUCGGAGAUCAGCUUAUCCAAGGGCUUCAUGUCUGAGCUCUGUUGGUCGUGCCUCCUGAGGACCUCUUUCCUCUACUGUAUGCUGAUGACACACCCAUCCGAUGGGAGCUGGAGCCUUGUCUGGUCCUUUCCUCUAUGACCCCACGUGUACAGUUGGAAAUCCUUCCUAAUCAUGCCUUGAUUCCCCCUUUUCGACUACACUCAAAGAUGUUUGAGCUGUUUUAUUUGCAAAAUGGAUGGACAGUUUGUUUAUAUAAAACAAUCCCAGCUUCCUUGUGCUCUA
rnacentral:lncRNA from 1 species